UACAGAGGGUGCAAGCGUUAAUCGGAAUGACUGGGCGUAAAGGGCGUGUAGGUUGAGACUUAAGUUAGAUGUGAAAGCCCCGGGCUUAACCUGGGAAAGUCAUCUAAAACUGGGUCACUAGAGUAUAGGAGAGGGAAGUGGAAUUUCCGGUGUAGCGGUGAAAUGCGUAGAUAUCGGAAGGAACACCAGUGGCGAAGGCGACUUCCUGGCCUAAUACUGACACUGAGGCGCGAAAGCGUGGGUAGCGAACAGG
rnacentral:misc_RNA from 1 species